GGAGGCUACCGAGGUAAACAUUUUUGUGACAGAACUGCAGGAGCCGCAGAGGUUCCAGUAUGGGUUUGCCUUUCCUUUUGGUCUUGUCUGCCACAGUGAUUCUUAUCAAACCCGAAACACCUGUAACAAAGGCCCUGCAUCAGAACUCACUCGAGUGCUGCAGCGAG